rnacentral:rRNA from 1 species
AACGAACGCUGGCGGCAUGCCUAACACAUGCAAGUCGAACGAGAUCUUCGGGUCUAGUGGCGCACGGGUGCGUAACACGUGGGAAUCUGCCCUUUGGUUCGGAAUAACAGUUGGAAACGACUGCUAAUACCGGAUGAUGACGAAAGUCCAAAGAUUUAUCGCCAGAGGAUGAGCCCGCGUAGGAUUAGCUAGUUGGUGUGGUAAAGGCGCACCAAGGCGACGAUCCUUAGCUGGUCUGAGAGGAUGAUCAGCCACACUGGGACUGAGACACGGCCCAGACUCCUACGGGAGGCAGCAGUGGGGAAUAUUGGACAAUGGGCGAAAGCCUGAUCCAGCAAUGCCGCGUGAGUGAUGAAGGCCUUAGGGUUGUAAAGCUCUUUUACCCGGGAUGAUAAUGACAGUACCGGGAGAAUAAGCUCCGGCUAACUCCGUGCCAGCCGCCGCCGUAAAAC